GGGGGCGACCUGGCUUCGACGUGGGUUGCGAUACCAGAGGUGCAUGUCGAGUUUUCAGUAUCUCGUUAAUCUGCUGAGAAAAUAUAAACGCAGAAAAUAAAACUUUUGCACUAGCAGCCUAACUGCCGCUAGCCUCUUUCAAAGUAUGCUUAUAUGCUCUGAAAUGAGGUCAUUUUAAUAAGCUCGUGGCUUAUAAUCUUGUUGGUGAGCCAUUAAAUUAAAACAAGAUAUGUAUUAUGUAGGAUGUUUGUAACCAGCAUAAUAAUGAAAUUUAAAACAAACUAAACAUGUAGUACCAAUGGCUGAACGCUCUCGGACGCGGGUUCGAUUCCCGCCGCCUCCAACA
rnacentral:tmRNA from 1 species